rnacentral:rRNA from 1 species
UACGUAGGUGGCAAGCGUUGUCCGGAAUUACUGGGCGUAAAGCGCACGUAGGCGGAUAUUUAAGUCAGGGGUGAAAUCCCGGGGCUCAACCCCGGAACUGCCUUUGAUACUGGGUAUCUUGAGUGUGGUAGAGGUGAGUGGAAUUGCGAGUGUAGAGGUGAAAUUCGUAGAUAUUCGCAGGAACACCAGUGGCGAAGGCGGCUCACUGGACCACAACUGACGCUGAGGUGCGAAAGCGUGGGGAGCAAACAGG